UACGAAGGGGGCUAGCGUUGCUCGGAAUCACUGGGCGUAAAGCGCACGUAGGCGGCUUGUUAAGUCAGGGGUGAAAUCCUGGAGCUCAACUCCAGAACUGCCUUUGAUACUGAUGAGCUUGAGUUCGAGAGAGGUGAGUGGAACUGCGAGUGUAGAGGUGAAAUUCGUAGAUAUUCGCAAGAACACCAGUGGCGAAGGCGGCUCACUGGCCCGAUACUGACGCUGAGGUGCGAAAGCGUGGGGAGCAAACAGG
rnacentral:rRNA from 1 species